rnacentral:rRNA from 1 species
GACGAACGCUGGCGGCGUGCUUAACACAUGCAAGUCGAACGGCAACGCCCUGCUUUUGUGGGGUGCCCGAGUGGCGAACGGGUGAGUAACACGUGAGUAACCUGCCCUUGACUUUGGUAUAACUUCAGGAAACUGGGCCUAAUCCCGGAUAGGAGCCCCUGCUGCAUGGUGGGGGUUGGAACGUUUAGGCGGUUGGGGAUGGACUCGCGGCUUAUCAGCUUGUUGGUUGGGUAGUGGCAUACCCACGCUUUGACGGGUCGCCCGCCUGGGAGGGUGACCGGGCACAUUGGGCCUGAGAUAGGGCCCAGACGCCAAUGGGAGGCAACAGGGGGGAGUAUUGCACAAUGGGAGGAAGCCUGAUGCAGCAACGUCGCGGUCGGGAUGACGGCCUGCGGGUUGUAAACCGCUUUCGCCUGUGACCAAGCGUGAGUGACGGUAAUGGGUAAAGAAGCACCGGCUAACUACGUG